GUGGAUUAGAUACCCGGGUAGUCCACGCCCUAAACGAUGUCUACUAGUUGUCGGGUCUUAAUUGACUUGGUAACGCAGCUAACGCGUGAAGUAGACCGCCUGGGGAGUACGGUCGCAAGAUUAAAACUCAAAGGAAUUGACGGGGACCCGCACAAGCGGUGGAUGAUGUGGAUUAAUUCGAUGCAACGCGAAAAACCUUACCUACCCUUGACAUGUCAGGAAUCCUCGAGAGAUCGGGGAGUGCCCGAAAGGGAGCCUGAACACAGGUGCUGCACGGCCGUCGUCAGCU
rnacentral:rRNA from 1 species